CGUCCGUCUCUUGCGCCCCGAAGGCGGAGGAGGCUUGGCAAGCCGAGGAGGCGCGCCGAGCGAGGCAGGUGGAGAGAGAAGCGAGGCGAGCGGGCAAGUACGGCGGCGGAGGCGCCCGAGUCAGCGUUGGAGGGGAUGAGGGGUGCCGAGCUUGGUUCGCGCUAUCGCAGGGAAGACCAGCGCUGCCUGGCUCUCCCUCCCUCAACUGCUGCAGGACCAGGGAGGAUUUAAAUGUUGGAGUAAUGAAAUUGAUAAAACUUCCUUUGUGUGGUGUGAGAGAGCGACAAAGACCAAAGGGCCUAAAAUUUCCCGACUGUUCAGUCUAUGGGAACCACAGCCAGUUUAAAAACAACAACAAAAGGAUGGACAAGGAAAACAGCUGUGCUAGCAAAUGAAAGAAGACCAUGAUUCCAGAAAUGAGAGCCCUGACCAAUUCCGUGCAAAGCACCUAAAUGGAAUCCAAAUCUGUGUGUUUUCCAUGCCAAAAAAUAAUAUUUUAACAAAUUCUUCAAAAUACAACCCACUCUGCAUUAUCAAGGAAAAGAGACAUUAAAAAAAUGCUAUUGCAACAUUUCUCAAAAUUUCCCUGUAAAUGUUUGUAUUUAUUGUCAUACCAGUGAUUUAGAGUGCCUCCAGAUGUGCACUAAGGCCUGUGAUUAUCCCAGGACCAUUUUGGGAAUGCCAGAACAUAGUCAUGGAUUAGUCCCAGGCUAGUCCAACAAUAAUUCCUAAUAUCGCUGUUAUAGGAACUCUGGCAAUUACUCCUGUAAUAGUGAUGCUUACUCCUUACCUUCGUGUCUGUCGGGCCCUUCUGGAAUGAUUUCUCCAGAAAAUGCCAGAAGCCAGUGGGCAGAAGAAGUGGCAGGCACUUGGCUGGCUUCCAAUGUUUGCAAGAUAAAUCAUUCUGGAAGCAUCUGACGAUCGCUAAGGUAAGUCUGCAGUUCCCUCCCAUAUCUGGUGGGGCGGUAAAUCUUCUUUCGAUCCCACACUUCCUCUUGCAGUCUGCAGGCAGCCUCAGUCUGUCGAUAACCCAAUAAAUUGCUACGAUUGGAAACCCA
rnacentral:lncRNA from 1 species